rnacentral:rRNA from 1 species
UGGAGGCAGCAGUAAGGAAUCUUGGACAAUGGGCGAAAGCCUGAUGCAGCGACGCCGCGUGAAGGAUGAAGGCCUUCGGGUUGUAAACUUCUUUUGCAGGGGAAGAUAAUGACGGUACCCUGCGAAUAAGCCACGGCUAACUCUGUGCCAGCAGCCGCGGUAAGACAGAGGUGGCGAGCGUUGUUCGGAAUUACUGGGCUUAAAGGGCGCGUAGGUGGUGAUAUAAGUCUGGGGUGGAAUCUCACAGCUUAACUGUGGAACUGCCCUGGAAACUGUAUUGCUUGAGUCGGACAGGGGAAGGCGGAAUUCCAGGUGUAGCGGUGAAAUGGGUAGAUAUCUGGAGGAAGGCCUGUGGUGAAGACGGCCUUCUGGGUCUUGACUGACGCUGAGGCGCGAAAGCGUGGGUAGCAAACAGGAUUAGAUACCCGCGUAGUCCU